GGAAGCCCUAAGAACUCAAGGGAGAUAGGGGUGGCAGGGGCAUUUCCCUGGAUGCCUGGAGCAUGGAGGGUGCGAAAUAAGGAGGCUUUCCUACCCCAUUGAUGAGCUGAAGUUGAUUCCGCACGGGGGAGGAAAGGGACAGGAAGCAUAAUUGGAUGUGCAAGCCUGUGGUUCUUCAGGAAGUUAACACGUGGAACUAACACUGUUGGAUGCUGCUGAACUCUCAGAAAAAUCAUCAUUGACAUCCAACACCAGCACUGGAAUGUUCAUCAGAGCCUCAAAGUGGAGCCUAUAAGAAGCGUGAACGUUUGGGGGACAGAAAAAAAGAAAUGUAACUUGAGUCAAGUUUCACAUACUCGCCAAGUCUUACUCAGAGAACAGAUCUAAAUUCAACAUGACUUUUCAAAGAAACUGCAUGU
rnacentral:lncRNA from 1 species